GACGAACGCUGGCGGCGUGCUUAACACAUGCAAGUCGAGCGAAUGGAUUAAGAGCUUGCUCUUAUGAAGUUAGCGGCGGACGGGUGAGUAACACGUGGGUAACCUGCCCAUAAGACUGGGAUAACUCCGGGAAACCGGGGCUAAUACCGGAUAACAUUUUGAACCGCAUGGUUCGAAAGUGAAAGGCGGCUUCGGCUGUCACUUAUGGAUGGACCCGCGUCGCAUUAGCUAGUUGGUGAGGUAACGGCUCACCAAGGCAACGAUGCGUAGCCGACCUGAGAGGGUGAUCGGCCACACUGGGACUGAGACACGGCCCAGACUCCUACGGGAGGCAGCAGUAGGGAAUCUUCCGCAAUGGACGAAAGUCUGACGGAGCAACGCCGCGUGAGUGAUGAAGGCUUUCGGGUCGUAAAACUCUGUUGUUAGGGAAGAACAAGUGCUAGUUGAAUAAGCUGGCACCUUGUCUGUACCUAACCAGAAAGCCACGGCUAACUACGUGCCAGCAGCCGCAGUAA
rnacentral:rRNA from 1 species